rnacentral:rRNA from 1 species
GACGAACGCUGGCGGCGCGCUUAACACAUGCAAGUCGAGCGAGAACCAGUCCUUCGGGACUGGGGACAGCGGCGAACGGGUGAGUAACACGUGGGUAAUCUGCCCUCGGCACCGGAAUAGCCCGGGGAAACCCGGAUUAAUGCCGGAUGGCCUCUCUGCCCCUCGGGGCGGCGAGAAAAGGUAGCUUCGGCCUCCGGCCGAGGAUGAGCCCGCGGCCGAUUAGCUUGUUGGUGGGGUAACGGCUCACCAAGGCGACGAUCGGUAGCUGGUCUGAGAGGACGAUCAGCCACACUGGGACUGGGACACGGCCCAGACUCCUACGGGAGGCAGCAGUGGGGAAUCUUGCGCAAUGGGCGAAAGCCUGACGCAGCGACGCCGCGUGCGGGAAGAAGGCCUUCGGGUUGUAAACCGCUUUCAGGAGGGACGAAGCCACUCGGGUUAAUAGCCUAGAGGGUGACGGUACCUCCAGAAGAAGCACCGGCUAACUACGUGCCAGCCGCCGCAGUAACAC